GAUGAACGCUCUCUACAGGCUUCACACAUGCAAGUCGCUUGGUAACGCGAGGAAAGCUUGCUUUCCUUGUCGACGACCGGCGCACGGGUGAGUACCGCGUAUCCACCCUGCCCCCAACUCAGGCAUAACCUUGCCCCCGUAAGACUAAUACCUGAUAAUUUCUUCAGAUGUCAUCUGACGAGGAAUAAAGAUUUAUCGGUGGUGGAUGGGGAUGCGUCUGAUUAGCUUGUUGGCGGGGUAACGGCCCACCAAGGCAACGAUCAGUAGGGGUUCUGAGAGGAAGGUCCCCCACAUUGGAACUGAGAAACGGUCCAAACUCCUACGGGAGGCAGCAGUGAGGAAUAUUGGUCAAUGGGCGAAAGCCUGGACCAGCCAAGUAGCGUGCAGGAUGACGGCCCUAUGGGUUGUAAACUGCUUUUAUACAGGAAUAAAGUUAGCCACGUGUGGUUAUUUGUAGGUACUGUAUGAAUAAGGACCGGCUAAUUCCGUGCCAGCAGCAGCCGCCG
rnacentral:rRNA from 1 species